AAAAUCCCCUAUGUUAGGGUUGUUCGUCUCAGUUUGAAUUUAGAAUUUUCGCACUAAAGAAAGUUUAGUUUGGAACUAGCUUAUCAGUGUUUCUAGAAUUUUAGAACACUAGGCAAUUAUAGAUCAAUAAGGGUUCGCUUACUACUUGAAGGUUUAAUACCAGCAUGUAUAACUGAACAAGGCUAUCAAUGUCAAAGAUCG
rnacentral:lncRNA from 1 species